GUUAGGAAUAUUGGACAAUGGGCGCAAGCCUGAUCCAGCCAUGCCGCGUGAACGAUGAAGGCCUUCGGGUUGUAAAGUUCUUUAGCCGAUGAUUAUAAUGACUGUAGUCGGAAAAUAAGCCCCGGCUAACUUCGUGCCAGCAGCCGCGGUAAUACGAAGGGGGCGAGCGUUAUUCGGAAUCACUGGGCGUAAAGCGUGCGUAGGCGGUUUUGUAAGUUAGGAGUGAAAGCCCAGGGCUCAACCUUGGAAUUGCUCUUAAAACUGCAAGGCUCGAAGCUCGGAGAGGAUAGCGGAAUUUCCAGUGUAGCAGUGAAAUGCGUAGAUAUUGGAAGGAACACCAGUGGCGUAAGCGGCUAUCUGGACGAGUAUUGACGCUGAGGCACGAAAGCGUGGGGAUCAAACAGGAUUAGAAACCCGGGUAGUCC
rnacentral:rRNA from 1 species